rfam:Cavia porcellus supercont2_127 genomic scaffold, whole genome shotgun sequence.
CAGCAUAGCUGUGGUGGGCGCUGUCGGCAUUGCGGGCCCAGGGCGAUGGGACAUCUUCCCGGGACCGACCUGUGUGCUGGUCCCGCAGUGACAGGUUUCCGACAUCUCUCGAUGGAGGCUCCCACAGCCCCGUGGGCUUGGGCCUCAGGGAGUUCUGGA